rnacentral:misc_RNA from 1 species
AUCCGGAAUCGCCGAAGUCCGGAUUAAUGACUUUUGACUGUAUAAGAGAAAGAGAAAAGUUUGAUGAAACAUGUUCAACACGCCAAUUUUUACUUUAAAUCACUAACAGUAAAUGCAGUAAGAUGCCUCAGCAAAAAAGCGCUUGGCACCGACGUUUAUUACCAUACAUGUCAA